rnacentral:tRNA from 1 species
AUUCAAAUAGCUUAAAGUUAGAGCAUUGUAUUGAAGAUACAAGGGAGAAUAAUUUAUUCUUUGGAUA